rnacentral:lncRNA from 1 species
AUGUUCAUAUUAAUAAGAUAUGCUAAGAUAAUGUCAUGAGUUCAAUAUGCAAUUUGAUUGGAAAACUACAGAGAAUAAAGGUCACUUCUGAAGCUCGUGGCAUGUAUUUCAACCAAUGAGGUGAAUCUCUAGCUUGGUAACCAACGUAGCUAGUUCUCUGCACUUUUAGCUUCAGACGGCAAUGGUUCAAGUUCCCCUUUCCGAUAUCGCUUCACUGUAUCUGCAUAAUGUAAAAGUGUAUAGCAUAU